AUGUUCUCGCGCAGCGGAGGCCUCGCCAUUCACCAUCAUCAGCUUCGUCCAAACUCCCUCAUUCCUCUUCUCUCUUAUUCUGUCGUUCACCUUCUCAUCCUCCGAUUCUGUCUCAGUCAUUUUUCAAUCGCGGCUACAGCUAUUUACGAGUCACCUAACAAGUCCGGCGCGUGUUCAAAACUCAGGUACGGUGAAGAUGAAAGAUGA